GAUGAAAACGUAGCGAAAUGCGAUAAGUAAUGCGAAUUGCAGAAUUCAGUGAAUCAUCGAAUCUUUGAACGCACAUUGCGCCCGCCAGUAUUCUGGCGGGCAUGCCUGUCUGAGCGUCGUUUCGACCCUCGCGCCCGGCUUCUGUCGGGGGCGGUGUUGGGGAUCGGCCACACCCUUCAGUGGGAGGCCGGCCCCUAAAUUCAGUGGCGACCACGCUGUAGCCUCCCCUGCGUAGUACUAAAACCACCUCGCAGGCGGAGAGCGGUGCGGCCCGCCGUAAAACCCCCCAACUUUUACAAGGUCGACCUCAGAUCAGGUAGGAAUACCCGCUGAACUUAAGCAUAUCAAUAAGCGGAGGA
rnacentral:misc_RNA from 1 species